UACAGAGGGUGCAAGCGUUGUUCGGAAUUAUUGGGCGUAAAGGGCGCGUAGGCGGCCUUGCAAGUGACGGGUGAAAUCCCUCGGCUUAACCGAGGAACUGCCUGUCAAACUGCGAGGCUUGAGACCGGGAGAGGUGAGUGGAAUUCCCAGUGUAGCGGUGAAAUGCGUAGAUAUUGGGAGGAACACCAGUGGCGAAGGCGGCUCACUGGACCGGUACUGACGCUGAUGCGCGAAAGCGUGGGGAGCAAACAGG
rnacentral:rRNA from 1 species